AAAUAGGUUUGCUAGCUGAUUGUGUAUAUACGCAGGCCAAUGCUUCUAAUUUCAUAGCAAGCUCGCUUGCUAUGAAAUAGGCAACCAGUAAUAUAAGCAAGUGUGUGCUAUUUAUAGCGCUAGCCUACAAACCUAUAAUUAUAUUAACUCUAAGAGAAAUUUAAUAAUAAACGAAGUGAAUUGAAAUAUCUUAGUAACUUUAGGAAAAGAAAUCAAAAGAGAUUCUAUGAUUAGCGUGAGCUAAAAUAGACUAGCCUAAAAAGUCAAAUGGUGGAUAAACUGUUUAAAUUAAAUGGGGAACCUUCCUCAAAGGCUAAAUAUAAUAUAUAAGCGAUAGUGGAAAGUACCGUGAGGGAACCAAAACAAAAACAGUGAUUUUAUAAGCAGUUCGGGAAAAUAAAAAAAAAGUUAGAACGUACCUUUUGCAUAAUGGGUCACCAAGUUAACAUUAGAUGCGAGUAGGAGGGAGCAGCCCCGUGCAUACGUAGUUAAACCGAGCGUUAAAAUAACGGUAAGUAUCUAAAGUUAGACCCGAAGCCUGGUGAUUUUACCAUAAUCAGGAUUAUAAAAGUCCGAACGGAAUAUUGUAGCAUAAAUAUCCGAAGAAUUAUGGUAGGUGUAGUGAAAGACAAUACUGACCAGGAUAGCUGGUUUUCUGCGAAACCUAUAACAGUAGGCAAUUUAAGUAUAAUAUCUUAGCAGGUACAGAAUUUAAUCUCAGACAAGACAUAAGGCUUAGCUUGCUAGCAAGUAAAGCUCAUGUUUUAUUUUGUACAAAUUGGGGGAUCAUGAAGAUUUUAUCAGUGAGUAUGUAGACUCGGAAUGGCAAAGAUAUAUCUUAAAUCAUCAGACAUAGAAUGAUAAGGUUGUAUGUCAAAAGGGAAACAGCCCAGAACAAGAGUUAAGGUUCCUAAAUUAUUAGUUGAGUGAAAUUAAGAAGGUUUUUAUUAAAGUCGACAAGGAGAUAGGCUUAGAAGCAGCCAUAAUUUUAUGACCUCGUAACAGAGCGCUUGUUAAGUUUUAAAAGCAUCGAAAAUUUAUCGGAUCUAAACAAUAUACCGAAACCUUGUCCAUAUUAUUUUAUAAUUAAGCUUUAAUUAUAAUUAAAUGGGGUAGCAGAACGUUGAGCUAAAUUAAGAUUUUUAUUUUUUAAAUGAAAUUAUAAUAAUUUAACUCAAGUGAUAAUGGUGACAUGAGUAACUAAAAGAAAAAAUAAAAUUUUUCCGCCUAAAGCUUAUGGAUGUAAUUAAGUAACGGCCUCUAAGUUUAUAUUAUCUAAAGAUUUAAACGAUGAGAUAAUCUUUUGUACUAAGGACGACAUUUUAAGUGAAAAAUGUACUGGAAAAAUAGUACUAAAUUAAUGGCUAUAGCUAAUUAGUUAGCUAUAGCUAUAAAUGAAAAGUAACCGUACCUAGAAUCUGAAACAAGUAAGCUAGUAGAGAAUACGAAGGCGUAAAUGAGCUAACAAUCAUAAAGGAACUCGGCAAAUUGACUACCGUAACUUCGGGAUAAGGAGAGCUCAUUAUUCUUGAUUAAUAUCAGGUAAAGAGGAAGAAGCAUGAAAUAGUGUUGUACGACUGUUUAAUUAAAACACAGCACUUUGCUGAAAGAUUAAAAAUCUAAGUAUAGAGUGUGAUGUCUGCCCGGUGCCGGCUGGUUAACAGAUAUAAUUAAAUAUACUAAUAUUUGAUGUAGACGGAAACCCCGGUUAAAGGCGGCCUUAACGUGAGGGUCCUAAGGUAGCGAAAUGCCUUGGCCGUUAAAUGCGGUCUUGCAUGAAUGAUGUAACGAUACAACAGCUGUCUCUAUGAUUGACUCAGUGAAAUUGGAAUAGCUGUGCAGAUACAGUUUACCUCUAGUUAGACGAGAAGACCCUAUGCAGCUUUACUGUCACUAAUUAUAGAGUAUGAUAAACAAUUUUCAGAUUAUAAGGUAAUUGACGGCUAGCUUGUUCAGCAAGCUAGCUCUAUGACAAUGAGAAUCCUUUAUUUUUUUUUCAUAUGAAUGAAUUGGUUUAGGAUUAUGAGUAGGUAGCUGCUUCUGCUACUUGGCGCAAGCAUUGCUUGCGUCAAGUGUCUGAAGUAUGCAUUCCAGCUCAUGCAUAGUAAAUCAACCUAAUUCAGCUUAUUUUCCUUUCUGCCAUAAGCGCAUAAUGAUAGAUUUAACUUAAAUUUUGAUUUAUGCCGAGCCCCUCCGGGGCUACUGCAGAAAUAGAUAAGUACCCUUGGCUAAGGAACUAUCGCUAGGGGACAGUUUAUGUGGGGCACAGACCCUGUAAAGAGUAAACAGGAGUGUCUAAUAAUUUAUAAUUAUUUUGUUUGCGAUUUAAGAUAGUGAAACUAUUUUUAAUCAUAUAAAAUUAUUUAUAUGUACAUUCGUUGUAUAUAUAUUUAAAAAAAGGUAGGAUUUUCACUAUAUAGAAAUUAGAGAUAAUAAAAAUAUUAAGAAUAUACCUUUCAGGUAGCACUAAUAUUUUUUAGCUAUUAAGACAGGCUAUCAAGCUAGGCUCUAAUAGUUAUGUAUUAAUUAUCUAAAAAGCUCAACGGCUAAAUCUUGCCUUACUGUUUGAUUAUCAACAAAUCUUACAGUUGCGUAAGCAGGGCAUAGGAUCACAAGAUGCAACAAGGAAAGAUCUUGGAUUAUUGGAAAAGCUACGCUAGGGAUGUUUGUCCUUUAAUAUUUUAUUACACAGCGGCUUUAGUUAGCAAUAUUUUAGGCGCAAGCCUAAGCAUACUUCGUAUACAAGAACUUGCUAUAAAAAAAAAUAUUGCAGGUUAGCUAAAGCUCGAUAGGUUUCACUUAUCUAUGCUGAGAAAUAAGGAUAAUUAAUAAUAUAUUGGGUUAAUUUCAAAAAUUACUAGCUUGCAUAUUUUAGAAAAAAAAUCAGCUAGCUCGUAAAUUUGAAGCGAAAUUUAUCUUAGCAUAAAUUAUAAGAUAAAGACGUUCAACGACUAUAAGGUGAGUUAUAUGCACAGCUUGCCAAUCCCUUAUUAUUAGGGAUCAGCAAGCUAAACAAUAAUCCUUUUUUACACCCAACAUUAUUAUUAUAUAUAUAUAUAUAAAAAAGUAAAAAAAAAAGAAUAAAUAUUUGGAAAAAUGAAUAAAAGUGGUAACGUAGACAAGAGCUUGCGCCCCUCUAAGAUGAAAAUUUAUAACAAUAACUUAAAACGGAGCGGAGCGCCUAAAACAAUACUUUUAAAGAAAAAAAUAGGUGAUAUAGGAAUAACCAAAUAUUUACCUUCAUUUUCUAAAGAAUGAAAGAAUACUAUAUAUUCUUAUAAUAAAAAUACAUUAAAGAAUAUACCAGUUAAUGAUUUAAAUAUAAACAAAAUAAUAAAAGGUUAUUUUAAUUUAUAUUUUAAAGAUCAUAAAUAUACAGGAUCUAAAUUUAUAUUAUUAAAAAGAAGACGUAAUUUAUUAAGAAGAAUACAUGUAAGUAAUGCGGAAAUUAAACAUACUAAUAAUAAAGCAAUAAUUACGCUAUAUACUUUAAAUAGAGAAAAAAAUGUAUUAAAAAAAAAAUAUUUAAAAAUAAAUAAAAAAAUAAGUAAAAAAUUAAUAGCCAAACGUUAUUUUUUAUUAUAUAAAAAAAAUAUAAAAAAAAUUUAUAAAAUCUUAGGUGAAUAUAAAGAUCAAUAUAUAUUUAUUAGUGAUAUAAUAAGAAAAACGAAAUUUAUAAAGUAUAAACUAGAAUAUUUAAAUAAAUUUAUAAAAUUAAAAGAUCUUUAUUUAAAAAAAGUUUGAGGUGUUAUUCUUAACCAAUAUGCUAGAAAAUAUCUAAAAUACUUAAGAAAAUAUGAUUUAUUAUAUUCUCUUAAUCAAUAUAAAUUCAACAGAUUGGUGUUUUUACCUAUAUUAAGUAAUAUAUUAAAUAAAAUUAUAGGAAAAAAAAUAGAAUAUAAUAUAAUUAAUUUAAAAUCUGUUGCAUAUCAUACAGAUCUUUUUACUAAUGCAUUAGCAUUAAAAUUAAGAAAAAGAAGAAUAAAUUAUAUAAAUUCUAUGUUUAGUAUUUUAAAUAGAGCAUAUUUACCUAAUAUUAACACGAUUAAAGAAAGAUCUAUAAUAAAAGGUGAUAAAAAAAUGGACCUAUUUCAAGGUAAAUUUAAAGAUUUAAAAAUAAUUUCUAAUAUGAAUGCUUCGAAUAUUCCUGCCUUGCAGGAAUUAGAAGCGCCCUCAUUAUCUAAACUGUUAGAUGGUGCAUAUUCUUCAGAUGUAAAUAUAGGUGGUACGGUAACUUCGUUCACGCAAGCGAACGAAAAUAUCCAUAAUACCAUUUAUAAUUCUAUUGGAUAUAAAAACAUGGGAGGUAUAAGAUUAGAAGUUAAAGGUAGAUUAACUAAACGUUAUAGAGCGGAUAGAUCUGUCUAUUCAUUAAAAUGAAAAGGAGGAUUAAAAAAUAUAGAUUCUUCUUUUAGAGGUUUAAGUUCAGUUUUAUUUAGAGGUAAUUCUAAAUCAAAUGUAACUUAUUCAAUAGCUAAAUCAAAACGUCGUAUUGGAGCCUUUGCAGUAAAAGGUUGAAUAGGCGGUAAAUAAAGGCGCUAUUUUCUUAUCCAUGCAUUAGUUAGUACGAGGGGUAGACUUAGUUAGCCCGCUCCCUAGCUAAAGCUAGGAAUUACAGAAAAUCGCCCUAGCUUUAUUCUAGGACAUAACUGGAAAAAUAUAUAUAUAUAAUAAUAAUGAAGACAUAGUCUGAACCGUUUUGAAAAAAAUGGAAAUAUAAGUGCUUAUUCGCUAUUAAUAGGCUGGCGCAAGCUAUGCUUGCGCCUUACAAAGGGAAGCCAUUAAGGCUUAUUUCUUAACUAGCUAAAGCACUAAAGCAGGUUUACUGCUAAAGAUAAAUAAAGUUAAAGCUCUUAUUUAUGUGCUAGAUAUAGCCAGCAACCUUCCUUAUAAUAAGGGCUAGCGCCGCACUUUUAUGAUAACACAUAGAACAGGCUAAUUUGCGCAAGAGUGUACAAAAUGAGUGCGCGGUUUGGCACCUCGAUGUCGGCUUAACUUAUCCUCAUGGAUGCAGGAACUAUGUAGGGUGCGACUGUUCGUCGAUUAAAAAGUUACAUGAGCUGGGUUAAAUACGUCGUGAGACAGUAUGGUUUCUAUCUUCUAGGGGGAAUUAGAAUAUAAUAAGAACUAACUUUUGUACGAAAGGAACAAGAAGAAUUUAAUUUGUAAAAGGGUUAAAUAAUAGUUACUAACCUAUGGUUUACCUGUUGUCUAUGUGCCCAAAUAUUAAAAUAUAUAUGGAGGAAGCUCCUUAAGAGCUUCCCCCGCAAAUUAUAUAUAUCUGUAUAGCUAGCCUGCGGACUCCGGUUAUGCCUGAGUUUGGCAAGCUAAAGCUAUACAUAGGGAUGUUUCUUUCACUAAGAUAAAUAUAUAGCAUAGGCACGGCAGGAAAGCUAAGUUGGUUAAGGAUAAGUGCUGAAAGCAUAUAGGCACGAAGCUUAUCUUAAGAUAUUUCUUAAAUAUACGUAAAAUAUUAUUACGAAGGAUGUAAUAUAGGCUUUAUCCGUACGAAUCCGGAGAUUUUUAAGAAUAAAGUACUAAUUUUAUAAAUAACUAUUUA
rnacentral:rRNA from 1 species